UGGAAGCAAAGUUCUGUGACACUCGGACUCUGAUUAUGAUAGAAGUCAGUGCACUACAGAACUUUGUCGCCGG
rfam:Anolis carolinensis chromosome 6, whole genome shotgun sequence.